rnacentral:rRNA from 1 species
AACGAACGCUGGCGGCGCGUCUUAAGCAUGCAAGUCGAGCGGCAAGGGCAGCAAUGCCCCUAGAGCGGCGGACUGGUGAGUAACGCGUGGGUGAUCUACCUUUGGGAUGGGGAUAGCUUGUGGAAACACAGGAUAAUACCGAAUACGUUCCCGGGACCAUGGUUCUGGGAGGAAAGGUCCGUAUGGACCGCCCGGAGAUGAGCCUGCGUCGGAUUAGCUUGUUGGCGGGUAACGCCACCAAGGCGAUGAUCCGUAGCCGGCCUGAGAGGGUGAACGGCCACAUUGGGACUGAGAUACGGCCCAGACUCCUACGGGAGGCAG